rnacentral:rRNA from 1 species
CUACGGGAUGCAGCAGUGGGGAAUAUUGCACAAUGGGCGAAAGCCUGAUGCAGCAACGCCGCGUGAGGGACGACGGCCUUCGGGUUGUAAACCUCUUUUAGCAGGGAAGAAGCGAAAGUGACGGUACCUGCAGAAAAAGCACCGGCUAACUACGUGCCAGCAGCCGCGGUAAUACGUAGGGUGCAAGCGUUGUCCGGAAUUAUUGGGCGUAAAGAGCUCGUAGGCGGGUUGUCGCGUCUGCUGUGAAAAUCCGAGGCUCAACCUCGGACCUGCAGUGGGUACGGGCAAACUAGAGUGCGGUAGGGGAGAUUGGAAUUCCUGGUGUAGAGGUGGAAUGCGCAGAUAUCAGGAGGAACACCAAUGGCGAAGGCAGAUCUCUGGGCCGUAACUGACGCUGAGGAGCGAAAGCGUGGGGAGCGAACAGGAUUAGAUACCCCUGUAGUC